GAUUCCAUGGUGUAGUGGUUAUCACAUCUGCUUAACACGCAGAUGGUCCUGGGUUCAAUCCCCAGUGGAAUCA